rnacentral:rRNA from 1 species
GACAGAGGGUGCAAACGUUGUUCGGAAUUACUGGGCGUAAAGCGUGUGUAGGCGGCUCUACAAGUCGGAUGUGAAAGCCCCGGGCUCAACCCGGGAAGUGCACUCGAUACUGCAGAGCUUGAGUAUCGGAGAGGUUGGUGGAAUUCUCGGUGUAGAGGUGAAAUUCGUAGAUAUCGGGAGGAACACCGGCGGCGAAGGCGGCCAACUGGACGAAUACUGACGCUGAGACACGAAAGCGUGGGGAGCGAACGGG